CCCCAGACUCCUACGGGAGGCAGCAGUGGGGGAUAUUGCACAAUGGGGGAAACCCUGAUGCAGCGACGCCGCGUGGGCGAAGAAGUAUUUCGGUAUGUAAAGCCCUAUCAGCAGGGAAGAGGAAAUGACGGUACCUGAGUAAGAAGCACCGGCUAAAUACGUGCCAGCAGCCGCGGUAAUACGUAUGGUGCAAGCGUUAUCCGGAUUUACUGGGUGUAAAGGGAGCGCAGGCGGCACGGCAAGCCUGAUGUGAAAGCCCGCGGCCCAACCGCGGGACUGCAGUGGGAACUACCGGGCUGGAGUGCCGGAGAGGUAGGCGGAAUUCCUAGUGUAGCGGUGAAAUGCGUAGAUAUUAGGAGGAACACCAGUGGCGAAGGCGACUUUCUGGACGAUAACUGACGUUGAGGCACGAAAGUGUGGGGAGCAAACAGGAUUAGAUACCCGAGUAAGC
rnacentral:rRNA from 1 species